rnacentral:lncRNA from 1 species
CAUCGACUACCUCGGUACCAUGAUGAAUAUGCCUCGAUGAUCAUAUCUCCAAAGACCAUGUCAUGAUGACCCCAUCUCAACCAAUAUGCCUUGACAACCUUGAUCAGUCGACAAUCAUAUCUCAGGCAACGACGUCUUUGAUGACAUUGCCUCGACGGCCACGUAACGACGACCACGUCAUGGCGACCACGUCAUGGCGACAUCAUCUCGACUAAUUUGCCUUAAGGACUUCGAUCUCAUCUCGACAACUAUAUCUCGACGACCACGUCCUUGAAGAUCUCACAUCGAUGAUCAUAUCUUUUACAACCAUGUCACAAUGACUUCAUCGAUUUUCUCGUCUCAACCAAACUCGAUCCAACUCCCCUUUGGCGAUGACCUAACAUUGAUCUCCAACAGAUGACAUGCUUUCACUGCUUUUUCUGACGCCGAAGAACUACCACUACUCUUCGACGAUGACAAGCUCACAAUACUCUAUGAUGACGACAUUCUCCAAGUUAAUGAUCUCCUACUCAAAGACCUCAACACGAACGAUCGAAUCAGAUGACCUUAAGACAUAUGGCCUCAAAAGUGACUUUCAAAAAUGACGAUCAAAACUGACCAUCAACCAUGAUGAACUUCGUCUAUAGUCAAAGGAUGAACUCGAGAAAGUGAUCGAAGCUCUGCGCACACACUUGUUGAAUGAUCUCCACACCCAAGAAAGAUGACCUCAUAGCUCAAAUGGACGAACUCCACACCUAAUGAAACCAAACUCUGUGUUUGAUGGAUGCUAUGUGCAUUCAUGGAAGCAGUAAUACACAUUUGUAUUUUAUGGACAAUUUAAAUCUCAUCUAAUUUCAAAUCAAAAUUCUAAUAUUUUCUAUAAACAUAUCAUAACCCAGCUG